CUUGUGUAGACAAAACGCGCGUCUUGCGUAUUAAGUUAUAAUCCUGGUACCUUUGAUAACUAUUUACACCACUGAGUCGAUGCCACUGCUGGUGGACGUUUCGUCCCCGAGAGUAUCACCAGCCCAGUAGUCAGCACAUCGGUGUUGACAUGAAUAUCAAUUAUAUGGUAAUUUUUAUAAAUUUUCUGUUACAAAAUUUUGUGUUUAUCAUUUUUGCCAUCAAAUUUCAAAUAAAAUUUGCUAAAUAUCUAAUUGGUGCAAAUAAAGCUGUAGUUAACAACGCAUUUUGUAGUAUGUUACCUAUUGUAAUUGUUGGUUUUUGGUGCCAAAGAAGAAAUUUAUGCUUCAAAUGCAUUUAUAUGAUGUUUAAAUUUACCAAAUGGUUUGGCAGGCAAAUACAAAAAUGCUCUUUCAAAAAUAGGGUGCAGUCAUGUAUUGGGAAAUCAAAAUACUUUCCCCCCAUAAAAAAAAAAC
rnacentral:lncRNA from 1 species